GGCAUGAUGUAAACAACAAAGGGUUCAGAGUCUAGAGCAACUGAUACUUGUCUUGUAAUCUUGUUUAAAGGUGCACGUUCUUUAUAGUCAUAUAGUUUGAUAGAGCUACUACAAUAUUUGGGUUGGGUGGGCCAAAAUGGCACGUAGGCAGUCUGGUGGUCGUAGGUUGGGCCGCUUGGUCGCUGUAUUAUUAGGCCCAAACAUAGGGAUUUCAACACAUUUUUUAAUGAAAACUUUCAUCUGAAAAAACCUUCGUUUGG
rnacentral:sRNA from 1 species